UUAAGCGACUAAGCGUACACGGUGGAUGCCCUGGCAGUCAGAGGCGAUGAAGGACGUGCUAAUCUGCGAAAAGCGUCGGUAAGGUGAUAUGAACCGUUAUAACCGGCGAUGUCCGAAUGGGGAAACCCAGUGCAAUUCGUUGCACUAUCGUUAACUGAAUACAUAGGUUAACGAGGCGAACCGGGGGAACUGAAACAUCUAAGUACCCCGAGGAAAAGAAAUCAACCGAGAUUCCCCCAGUAGCGGCGAGCGAACGGGGAGCAGCCCAGAGUCUGAAUCAGCUUGUGUGUUAGUGGAACGGUCUGGAAAGUCCGACGGUACAGGGUGAUAGUCCCGUACACCAAAAUGCACAGGCUGUGAACUCGAAGAGUAGGGCGGGACACGUGGUAUCCUGUCUGAAUAUGGGGGGACCAUCCUCCAAGGCUAAAUACUCCUGACUGACCGAUAGUGAACCAGUACCGUGAGGGAAAGGCGAAAAGAACCCCGGCGAGGGGAGUGAAAAAGAACCUGAAACCGUGUACGUACAAGCAGUGGGAGCACCUUCGGGUGUGACUGCGUACCUUUUGUAUAAUGGGUCAGCGACUUAUAUUCUGUAGCAAGGUUAACCGUAUAGGGGAGCCGCAGGGAAACCGAGUCUUAACUGGGCGUUAAGUUGCAGGGUAUAGACCCGAAACCCGGUGAUCUAGCCAUGGGCAGGUUGAAGGUUGGGUAACACUAACUGGAGGACCGAACCGACUAAUGUUGAAAAAUUAGCGGAUGACUUGUGGCUGGGGGUGAAAGGCCAAUCAAACCGGGAGAUAGCUGGUUCUCCCCGAAAGCUAUUUAGGUAGCGCCUCGUGAACUCAUCUUCGGGGGUAGAGCACUGUUUCGGCUAGGGGGUCAUCCCGACUUACCAACCCGAUGCAAACUACGAAUACCGAAGAAUGUUAUCACGGGAGACACACGGCGGGUGCUAACGUCCGUCGUGAAGAGGGAAACAACCCAGACCGCCAGCUAAGGUCCCAAAGUCAUGGUUAAGUGGGAAACGAUGUGGGAAGGCACAGACAGCCAGGAUGUUGGCUUAGAAGCAGCCAUCAUUUAAAGAAAGCGUAAUAGCUCACUGGUCGAGUCGGCCUGCGCGGAAGAUGUAACGGGGCUAAACCAUGCACCGAAGCUGCGGCAGCGACACUAUGUGUUGUUGGGUAGGGGAGCGUUCUGUAAGCCUGCGAAGGUGACCUGUGAGGGUUGCUGGAGGUAUCAGAAGUGCGAAUGCUGACAUAAGUAACGAUAAAGCGGGUGAAAAGCCCGCUCGCCGGAAGACCAAGGGUUCCUGUCCAACGUUAAUCGGGGCAGGGUGAGUCGACCCCUAAGGCGAGGCCGAAAGGCGUAGUCGAUGGGAAACAGGUUAAUAUUCCUGUACUUGGUGUUACUGCGAAGGGGGGACGGAGAAGGCUAUGUUAGCCGGGCGACGGUUGUCCCGGUUUAAGCAUGUAGGCUGGUUAUCCAGGCAAAUCCGGAUAAUCAAGGCUGAGGUGUGAUGACGAGGCACUACGGUGCUGAAGUAACAAAUGCCCUGCUUCCAGGAAAAGCCUCUAAGCAUCAGGUAACAUCAAAUCGUACCCCAAACCGACACAGGUGGUCAGGUAGAGAAUACCAAGGCGCUUGAGAGAACUCGGGUGAAGGAACUAGGCAAAAUGGUGCCGUAACUUCGGGAGAAGGCACGCUGGUGUGUAGGUGAAGUCCCUGCGGAUGGAGCUGAGACCAGUCGAAGAUACCAGCUGGCUGCAACUGUUUAUUAAAAACACAGCACUGUGCAAACACGAAAGUGGACGUAUACGGUGUGACGCCUGCCCGGUGCCGGAAGGUUAAUUGAUGGGGUUAUCCGUAAGGAGAAGCUCUUGAUCGAAGCCCCGGUAAACGGCGGCCGUAACUAUAACGGUCCUAAGGUAGCGAAAUUCCUUGUCGGGUAAGUUCCGACCUGCACGAAUGGCGUAAUGAUGGCCAGGCUGUCUCCACCCGAGACUCAGUGAAAUUGAACUCGCUGUGAAGAUGCAGUGUACCCGCGGCAAGACGGAAAGACCCCGUGAACCUUUACUAUAGCUUGACACUGAACAUUGAGCCUUGAUGUGUAGGAUAGGUGGGAGGCUUUGAAGCGUGGACGCCAGUCUGCGUGGAGCCAACCUUGAAAUACCACCCUUUAAUGUUUGAUGUUCUAACGUUGGCCCCUGACCGGGGUUGCGGACAGUGUCUGGUGGGUAGUUUGACUGGGGCGGUCUCCUCCCAAAGCGUAACGGAGGAGCAC
rnacentral:rRNA from 1 species